UACGUAGGGGGCAAGCGUUGUCCGGAUUUAUUGGGCGUAAAGAGCUCGUAGGCGGUUCCGUAAGGCGAGUGUGAAAAAUCUGGGCUCAACCCAGUGGAGCACUCGAUACUGCGGUGACUGGAGUACGGUAGAGGAGUGUGGAAUUCCUGGUGUAGCGGUGAAAUGCGCAGAUAUCAGGAGGAACACCCAUAGCGAAGGCAGCUUGCUGGGACGAUACUGACGCUAAGGCUCGAAAGCGUGGGGAGCGAACAGG
rnacentral:rRNA from 1 species